UACGAAGGGUGCAAGCGUUACUCGGAAUUACUGGGCGUAAAGCGUGCGUAGGUGGUUUGUUAAGUCUGAUGUGAAAGCCCUGGGCUCAACCUGGGAAUUGCAUUGGAUACUGGCAGGCUAGAGUGCGGUAGAGGAUGGCGGAAUUCCCGGUGUAGCAGUGAAAUGCGUAGAGAUCGGGAGGAACAUCUGUGGCGAAGGCGGCAUCCUGGACCGGCAUUGACGCUGAGGCGCGAAAGCCAGGGGAGCAAACGGG
rnacentral:rRNA from 1 species